rnacentral:miRNA from 1 species
UUAGUCAUCAGGAUGCGUCGUU